rnacentral:rRNA from 1 species
UACGUAGGGUGCAAGCGUUGUCCGGAAUUAUUGGGCGUAAAGAGCUCGUAGGCGGUUUGUCGCGUCGGCUGUGAAAACCCGGGGCUCAACCCCGGGCCUGCAUUCGAUACGGGCAGACUAGAGUUCGGUAGGGGAGUCUGGAAUUCCUGGUGUAGCGGUGAAAUGCGCAGAUAUCAGGAGGAACACCGGUGGCGAAGGCGGGACUCUGGGCCGAUACUGACGCUGAGGCGCGAAGGCGAGGGGAGCGAACGGG